rnacentral:rRNA from 1 species
AUUGAACGCUGGCGGCAUGCUUUACACAUGCAAGUCGAACGGCAGCGCGGGCUUCGGCCUGGCGGCGAGUGGCGAACGGGUGAGUAAUACAUCGGAACGUGCCCAGUAGUGGGGGAUAGCUCGGCGAAAGCCGGAUUAAUACCGCAUACGACCUGAGGGUGAAAGCGGGGGAUCUUCGGACCUCGCGCUAUUGGAGCGGCCGAUGGCAGAUUAGCUAGUUGGUGGGGUAAAGGCCUACCAAGGCGACGAUCUGUAGCUGGUCUGAGAGGACGACCAGCCACACUGGGACUGAGACACGGCCCAGACUCCUACGGGAGGCAGCAGUGGGGAAUUUUGGACAAUGGGCAGAAGCCUGAUCCAGCAAUGCCGCGUGUGUGAUGAAGGCCUUCGGGUUGUAAAGCACUUUUGGCGGGAACGAAAAGGACUGUGCCAAUACCACGGUUCGAUGACGGUACCCGCAGAAUAAGCACCGGCUAACUACGUG